rnacentral:rRNA from 1 species
UACGGAGGUGGCAAGCGUUACUCGGAUUCACUGGGCGUAAAGGGCACGUAGGCUGUUCCAUAAGCCCUGCCUGAAAGGCUCUGGCUCAACCAGAGCAGUGGGCAGGGGACUGCGGAACUUGAGGAUCAGAGAGGCGAGCGGAAUUCCCGGUGUAAGGGUGAAAUCUGUAGAGAUCGGGAGGAACACCAGUGGCGAAAGCGGCUCGCUGGCUGAUUUCUGACGCUGAGGUGCGAAAGCUAGGGGAGCAAACAGG